GGAAUUAAAAAACAAUGUCAUUGGCCAAGAUGAUGCCGUCGACGCCAUUUCUUCUGCAAUUCGAAUUGCAAGAGCUGGUCUCCACUCGCCAACUCGUCCUCUUGGAUCCUUUCUCUUUUUGGGUCCCACAGGGGUCGGAAAGACAGAAUUAUGUAAAGAAUUA
rnacentral:ribozyme from 1 species